rnacentral:rRNA from 1 species
AUUGCAGGCUGCAACUCGCCUGUAUGAAGUCGGAAUUGCUAGUAAUCGCGGAUCAGCAUGCCGCGGUGAAUACGUUCCCGGGCCUUGUACACACCGCCCGUCACACCAUGAGAGCCGGGAACACCCGAAGUCCGUAGUCUAACCGCAAGGAGGACGCGGCCGAAGGUGGGUUUGGUAAUUGGGGUGAAGUCGUAACAAGGUACC